rnacentral:misc_RNA from 1 species
GUAGGUGAACCUGCGGAAGGAUCAUUACAGAGAACAUUGCCCUUUACGGGUGACUCUCCAACCCAGUGUUAUACUACCUUUGUUGCUUUGGUGAGCCGCUUCGGCCACUGGCCCCCCCGCUAGUGUGUGCUCGCCAAGGAACCCCAAAAUCUGAAUUAAACCUUUCGUCUGAGUAAUAAAUAAUAAGUUAAAACUUUCAACAACGGAUCUCUUGGUUCUGGCAUCGAUGAAGGACGCAGCAUCUGACUGA